CACGUAGGGCGCGAGCGUUGUCCGGAAUUAUUGGGCGUAAAGAGCUCGUAGGCGGCCUGUUGCGUCCGCUGUGAAAACUCGAGGCUCAACCUCGGGCUUGCAGUGGGUACGGGCAGACUAGAGUGCGGUAGGGGAGACUGGAAUUCCUGGUGUAGCGGUGGAAUGCGCAGAUAUCAGGAGGAACACCGAUGGCGAAGGCAGGUCUCUGGGCCGCAACUGACGCUGAGGAGCGAAAGCAUGGGGAGCGAACAGG
rnacentral:rRNA from 1 species